rnacentral:rRNA from 1 species
UGGAAACUGUNUGACUUGAGUGCAGAAGGGGAGAGUGGAAUNCCAUGUGUAGCGGUGAAAUGCGUAGAUAUAUGGAGGANCACCAGUGGCGAAAGCGGCUCUCUGNUCUGUCACUGACGCUGAGGCUCAAAAGCGUGGGUAGCGAACAGGAUUAGAUACCCUGGUAGUCCACGCCGUAAACGAUGAGUGCUAGGUGUUAGGCCCNUUCCGGGGCUUAGUGCCGGAGCUAACGCAAUAAGCACUCCGCCUGGGGAGUACGACCGCAAGGUUGAAACUCAAAGGAAUUGACGGGGGCCCGCACAAGCGGUGGAGCAUGUGGUUUAAUUCGAAGCAACGCGAAGAACCUUACCAGGUCUUGACAUCCCGAUGCUAUUCUUAGAGAUAGGAAGUUACUUCGGUACAUCGGAGACAGGUGGUGCAUGGUUGUCGUCAGCUCGUGUCGUGAGAUGUUGGGUUAAGUCCCGCAACGAGCGCAACCCUUAUUGUUAGUUGCCAUCAUUAAGUUGGGCACUCUAGCGAGACUGCCGGUAAUAAACCGGAGGAAGGUGGGGAUGACGUCAAAUCAUCAUGCCCCUUAUGACCUGGGCUACACACGUGCUACAAUGGUCGGUACAACGAGUUGCGAGCCGGUGACGGCAAGCUAAUCUCUGAAAGCCGAUCUCAGUUCGGAUUGGAGGCUGCAACUCGCCUCCAUGAAGUCGGAAUCGCUAGUAAUCGCGGAUCAGCACGCCACGGUGAAUACGUUCCCGGGCCUUGUACACACCGCCCGUCACACCACGAGAGUUUGUAACACCCGAAGUCGGUGAGGUANCCUUUUAG